AGUAAGGUCAGCUAAUUAAGCUCUUGGGCCCAUACCCCAAAUAUGUUGGUUAAACUCCUUCCUUUACUA
rnacentral:tRNA from 4 species